rnacentral:rRNA from 1 species
GAGAAUGGGGAGCCGGCGGCGGCGGUAAGACGGGGGGGGGUAUGUGUUGCCGGAGUUAUUUGGCGGAAAGGGCUCUGAGGCGGCGUGUCGCGUGGGAGGUGAAAGUCCGGGGCGGAACCCCUGGUCUGCAUUCGAUACGGGCAGGCUGGAGUGUGGUAGGAGAGAUCGGAAGUGCUGGUGUAGCGGUGAAAUGCGCAGAUAUCAGGAGGAACACCGGUGGCUAAGGCGGAUCUCUGGGCCAUUACUGACGCUGAGGAGCGAAAGCGUGGGGAGCGAACAGGAUUAGAUACCCGGGUAGUC